rnacentral:sRNA from 1 species
UCCACCAAUGAACUUGGCGCUUAGGAGC